rnacentral:rRNA from 1 species
AACGAACGCUGGCGGCAUGCCUAACACAUGCAAGUCGAACGAGACCUUCGGGUCUAGUGGCGCACGGGUGCGUAACGCGUGGGAACCUGCCCUUAGGUUCGGAAUAACUCCCCGAAAGGGGUGCUAAUACCGGAUAAUGUCUUCGGACCAAAGAUUUAUCGCCUUUGGAUGGGCCCGCGUUGGAUUAGCUAGUUGGUGGGGUAAAAGCCUACCAAGGCGACGAUCCAUAGCUGGUCUGAGAGGAUGAUCAGCCACACUGGGACUGAGACACGGCCCAGACUCCUACGGGAGGCAGCAGUGGGGAAUAUUGGACAAUGGGCGAAAGCCUGAUCCAUCAAUGCCGCGUGAGUGAUGAAGGCCUUAGGGUUGUAAAGCUCUUUUACCCGGGAUGAUAAUGACAGUACCGGGAGAAUAAGCUCCGGCUAACUCCGUG